UACGAAGGGUGCGAGCGUUAUUCGGAAUAACUGGGUGUAAAGAGUGUGUUGGCGGUUUUUUAAGUCAGUUGUUAAAGAGCCCGGCUUAACUGGGCAAAGGCGAUUGAAACUGAGAAGCUAGAGUACGGGAGAGAAAGGUAGAAUUCUCGGAGUAGCGGUAAAAUGCGUAGAUCUCGAGAGGAAUACCGGUUGCGAAGGCGGCCUUUUGGUCCGUUACUGACGCUUAAGCACGAAAGCGUGGGGAGCAAACAGG
rnacentral:rRNA from 1 species